UACGGAAGGGGCAAGCGUUGUUCGGAAUCAUUGGGCGUAAAGGGCGCGUAGGUGGUUCUGUAUGUCUACCGUGAAAGCGUACGGCUCAACCGUAUUUUGUCGGUGGAAACUGCAGGACUUGAGGCUGGGAGGGGCUGGUGGAAUUCUCUGUGUAGCGGUGAAAUGCGUAGAGAUGGGGGAGAACACUCGUGGCGAAGGCGGCCAGCUAGACCAGUUCUGACACUGAGGCGCGACAGCGUGGGGAGCAAACAGG
rnacentral:rRNA from 1 species